UACGGAGGAUGCAAGCGUUAUCCGGAAUGAUUGGGCGUAAAGCGUCCGCAGGUGGCAAUGUAAGUCUGCUGUCAAAGCGUCUGGCUCAACCAGAUAAAGGCAGUGGAAACUACAUAGCUAGAGUAAGGUAGGGGUAGAGGGAAUUCCUGGUGUAGCGGUGAAAUGCGUAGAGAUCAGGAAGAACACCGGUGGCGAAGGCGGAUCUCUGGGCCUUGCCUGACGCUGAGGCGCGAAAGCUAGGGGAGCGAACAGG
rnacentral:rRNA from 1 species